UCCCCACUCUCUGCUUCCUGUGCACGGAUAGAAUGUGAUGAGCCAACUUCCUGCUACUGCUGUGAUGCGUUCUGUGCCUAUUGUGCCUUCCUUUUGUAUCCUUUGCAACUGUAAGCCAACAUAAACCCUUUCUUACCCUUAAUUGCUUAAGAAGAGUUUAUCGCAGCAACAGAAAGGAACCGAAGACGUCAGCCCAUGGGAAGGUGUGGAACGGUGCCACCACUUUUAAGGUUUCUGGUCCAGCCUGUCUCCACAUACAGAUCCAGCUCGGCCAUUUCUCAGGAAAACAAUUUAAACUAGAAAAAGAAGACAGCAGCAGCCUGCACCCAGCGCUCUGCAGGGUGCCUAUGAAGAGGACGUGCCUGUCACUUGACAGGUUACAUACACUUCAACCUAUCCAUCUGUGAAACGGGAUCCGUGGUACUUCUUUUGUAAAGCCGGUAAUGAGGUGGCCGUUCCAACACUGUAAGCUACAUCCCAUGGAAGGUGACUCCAACCCUGGUAACCUGUCAGCCUGAGGCUCACAGUACUGCAGUAGCCCUGGAGGGGUGAGCACCUGUAAGAGAGUGGAGUCUGCCUGCAGCUAAGUAAAAAAUGUCAGCAAUGAGAACAAUUGAGUUUGUGACUGCAGCAGUAAUUCUCCCAGGCUUGGAGAAUGGGUCCCAGGGCCACACCUGUCAUAGAGCAUAAAGAAACAAUCAGUUAGCAACAAAGUAACCAAUCCCUUCCUUGCUAAGCGUUUCGGUCAUAAACAGGUUCAAUACUGGACAAUGAAUGUUGCAGCUGCCCAUAGUCCUGAGGCUCCUGGGGCCUGGGAGACUGAGCAAAGCAUUGAUGCAUACCGACUCCUCCUCAAGGAGUGAGGUCGUGCUUGGGGCACCA